UCUGCAACAGAAUAAAUCUUGAACUCUGUGAUAGUGAAGCAGCUGUGCCUUUUGUCAGAACUAAAUUCACAUGGACAUGUUUGACUACCCAAAGAAACGUUGCAUCCGGAACAUGGUCAUUCAGACUUCUCUGCAGUGCCAUGGAGAUCUGGAAGCAUUCGGAAGCUGCAUAACAGGUUGGGAUGUUAAAUUAACCAGAGAUUAUGGAUUAGUCGGCAGAUGAAAUUGUUUCACGAAUGGUUGUCACGUGGCCCUGAAAUUUAAGAAGGGGAAUUAGGAGCAUCCAGUCACUAUAUGAAAGUCACUGAGAAACUCUAUCACUUUGUCACAACUGUGAAAGUCCACGUAUUGCUUCAGCAUGUCCUGGGAAGCAGCAGACCCUGACCUCCAGGAAUAUGCGACCUGCCAGGCUGACCACUUUGAUGUGAAGUCCUUGUAAUGAACUUGAUGCUUAGGGCUAACAUAAAGGUUUGUGCAACAGGCCUGAAUCUUACUUCUGUUCUUUCUCCUAGUGUGUUUCUGUGCAUAUCUUCAACUAGAAGGAUAAUUAAUAAUUGGAUGCUCUGCAUACAACUACAUGAAUUUGCUCAAGGAAAAAACUACACUAACAUGUUUUUACAUUUUUGAGACAGGUUGCAAAUAGCCAAAACCAAUAGAAAGUAAUAUGUUGUUAUUCCAGUGAUGAUGAAAAUUACAAUAACAAUUCCAUUUGUCAGGGAGGUCUGAUUAUGUCCUUUAGAUGAAGAUGAAUAAGAAUUUAAGUUACACCUUUUGUUAAAUAGAGAAAUGUAAUUAUUGUGUUUUCUGGUUUAGGAGGACAGAUGGAGUAUAAAAUAGAUCAAGUGAAAGAGGCUUGAUCACAAAUUUGUAACAAUAACUUAAAAGUCAGAUUCCAGCCUGCAAGUAAAAGCCAUGUGAUACAAGUAAAUCAUAGCCGUGUGGUGCAUUUGAGCUAGAUAUUGGAUAUAAAAUAGCAAUUAAAUGGCUGGAAAGCAGCUGCUUGCCUGUCUAUAAGACAUCUGGCUUUUCUCCUAAGGUCAGGAAGAACUUGCUGCUACGUUCAACUGUUCUGUUUCAGGGACUUGUUUUAUUUUCCAACAUAAAGUGUAAGUGCAAUUUGACACAAAGCAAUUUCCCCUUUUAAAUUGCUUAUAAUGUUUUGGGGUUUUUUUAUACCUACUAUAGAAAACUGCUUCUCCUGCCACCCUUUUAUGCCGUCUUUCCUAUUUGCCCCUAAUCUACUGAUCAGGCUGGUUUGAUCAUUAUAUUUGGCAUAGAUUCCCUGCAUUUAAAAGGCCAAAUACUUUGCCUUAAUAGUGCUUUUUAUUGUUUAACAGAGGAUAGGGAAAGAUUGUGUUAACUGUUGUUUUAUAAGCUGAGUACAGCCAUCUGAAUGCUGUGGAGUCAGGAGUAUUUGUAGCUAUCAUUGUGCGCAUUACACUACCUGUCAGGACUGUCUCCAGGUGCUCUGUACCAGCCUCAGCCAUAAGGCACUUUUCUUUAUAGCUUUGCGGAUUUCUCACUCUCCUUAUGAACGCUAACUGUUGAGAAAGACGACAUGAAGGCAUUCAUUUGUCUGAGGUACACACAGUACAACAAAGCUAUAGCUCACAAGCUAAAAUUCUUCUUCCUUUUGAAAGGAAUAUAGGAAACAUGAUUUCCUUUUUAAUAUGAGAUUAAUGGAAUUCACUUCUGUCUGUCUGCAAACCACUGAGGUAGCUGAAAAGUCAAGAAGCCUUCCACUUCAAUUUUCUGUUUUCCUUUUCCUGUUUUCAAAUGUUUCAUGGAGCACCCACUGACAGAAAAUGAAGCUGAACCUAAAGAUCACUCUUUAAUGCUUGUUUGUUCUGGAUUAAUUAGUAUAUACAGGUUAAGUUUUCUUGCAAAUUUUUAGGAGAUACCUGAGGUAUAAUACAGAAUUCUGUUUAUCCAUAUAAAAAUCAAACUAGUUUUUUUGUGUUCAGAGUUUUUUCUUUCUUUCAUAAAAAGAUUAUGGGAAAAACACUGCUACAUGCAGUUCUUGUAACACAGAAUGGACCAUUUUGGAGUGGAGUGAGUAACAGAGCUCUUGACCAACGAAUAGCUACACAUGUGCAUGAGCACGUGCCCACACUCUUGUGCAUACAUGCAUGUGUGCACCUAAAAUAGUAUUUACAGAAGUGGAAACUCAGCCAUUGUUGUCUACUGAUGAUUUUUUUACCCCAAGACGAGGUCUUUUAGGCUUACUAUCCACUGCUGUGUUACAAGGUUUGUUUUAACUACAACACAGAUAAGCAGACUAUGCACUUGCAAAGCAAUACCCUGGGGAUGUACCACAGAACAUGCACCAAACUCACUUUUAGCAAUGCUAAAAUGAAGACCAUUGCAGACUUUACUAUAUUCAUUCUAAAGUUAUUUCUUUAAAUUUUCCAUUAAGUUGUAAUAGCAAAUGAAUUCACAGACUGACAUAACAGGUUAUAUAAGGAGCUACCCAACUAAGUUAUAUUAGUCUAUAGAGUUCCUUCAGAGUGAGAGAAAAGAUGUAACUAUAGCAGAAAUUGUUGCUCCUUUUAUAGUAUUUAUUCUGAAGCAUGUUUAGUUUAGAAAGUCUCUCCUUGAUUGUGGUGUGAUGGGAGGAGUUUUCACAGUGGACAGCUAAUUAUAAUCAAAACCAUCAUGCAUUUUAGCUAAGAAAUAGGCAUGUUCAAGUAGUUUUGAAGAAUGUGUAUACCCUUUUGUCCUUUAAAAAUACAUACUCUGAUUUGGCAGGGCACAUUUGUGGUGUCUCUGUGGUAGAUUUUCUGUUAAAUUUAUUUUAAUACUCCUAUUCUUAAGAAAAUAAGCUAGAUAAAUUGGUUUGAGACAUUCAUUAAAGCCUACUCCAAAAUAUGUUUUAUAUGAAAAAUGGCUUUGCUACUGAGAAUGAUUGGUAUGUCAAGAAUUUCAUUUCAGGCAACAUUUUUGUUAUUAGAACAAGCUUGUGUUGUCUACACAGGGGUUUUGUUCAGAAAGAUAUAAUGCAAGAUAGGAAAAAAGCAUCCUUCCAGUGUUCUUAUCUACUAUGCAAUACUUCCAUUGUAAGCAUAGAUAAUAACAAUUUUAAUAUUUUUUUCAUUUCCUUGGGUGCUGCUUCUUACUCACAUCUUAUAAUGGUGCUCAUGAUUUUACUGCUACUUCUCUAGGGGCUAAAAAAAUAAUCAAAGAGCUUGUUUUUCACUGAGCAGUGUACUUGUUUAUUGAAACCUUAGAAUUUGAUGCCUUAAAGGUGAUCUUUUAAAUCCCUUUUGCC